rnacentral:rRNA from 1 species
GAUGAACGCUGGCGGCGUGCCUAACACAUGCAAGUCGAACGGACUUACAUUGAAGCCUAGCGAUAUGUAAGUUAGUGGCGGACGGGUGAGUAACGCGUGGGUAACCUGCCUUGUACUGGGGGACAACAGUUGGAAACGACUGCUAAUACCGCAUAAGCGCACAGCUUCGCAUGAAGCAGUGUGAAAAACUCCGGUGGUACAAGAUGGACCCGCGUCUGAUUAGCUGGUUGGUGAGGUAACGGCCCACCAAGGCGACGAUCAGUAGCCGGCCUGAGAGGGUGAACGGCCACAUUGGGACUGAGACACGGCCCAAACUCCUACGGGAGGCAGCAGUGGGGAAUAUUGCACAAUGGGGGAAACCCUGAUGCAGCAACGCCGCGUGAGUGAAGAAGUAUUUCGGUAUGUAAAGCUCUAUCAGCAGGAAAGAAAAUGACGGUACCUGACUAAGAAGCCCCGGC